AACUUUCCAGUGCAUCUACUUUCUCUGAUAAUCACCAACAUCAAAAGAUGCUAAUUUAGGCUUUCUUUGCAUCAGAGCAACUAAAAAUGUCAGCUGAGUUUUGUCAACUUUCCAAGAAAAAAUUACAAGCUAUUGCUUGAUACAUGCCCUUAUAGUUGGUGCUUGAUACAACGCUAGAUUUUGGUGGAAGGAGGCUCACAAAUUAAUUUGUCAUUGUCAGGCUCAUGUUAUCCCUUAUCCUGGAAACCAGAAAAAAUGCACAGUAUUAUCUCUCCAUUCUCGAAACUAAAUUCUAAAAUAAAAAUAUCGUAUGCUUAACAGAAAUUAACUACUUUUUGAGUUCUUUUGGUCAUUCCAGUUUACUGGAUCCAUAUUUGAACACGAAUUGUACUGUGUCAACAGAAAAGUGGAUUAGAUUGAUAUAUAAUCAUAUAAAUGCAAAACAAUAUAGGAAUAAGAACAUACCUCCGACCACCAGGAUUAAAUUCGUGUGCAUUCAUCAAUACAAAAUGCCUUAACUCCAAGUUUCUCUUGCGAAGCCUAGAAGAAAUAGUAAGGUCUUACUUGUGCACAGGUCAGUAUACAGUUUGCAUAGGUAAGUAACUCAAAGGAAUUACAGUGGCAAUGUUCACCAUAUAAAAACUAAGUCUCCUCACACAAAUCUAUCUUAUCGCAUAACCAUUUGCCCUUGUUAUUUUAUCAAAAAAACACAUAGGAAAUCGUUGGCUACUCUCUUAAAUUUGACAAAAAUACCUUAGAGAAGCUAAAGGCAUCAAGAAUUCAAGGCUUGAAGUGGGAACUAUAUGGGCAGGACAAAAGAAAGUGCCACUGAAGACUAAAUCAUGUACAUGCAAAGAGUAUGCAGUCCAAUAUGAAAAAAAUCAAAAGGUAAAUGGAAAACGCACCAUAUCAUCAGUGUUGUCAUCUCCAAAUAUUACACAUGAGGAGGAUAUAGUUUUAGCAUGGAACAAACACAAAUAAUAGCAUGGAACAAACACAAAUAACUUAUAAAUUAAGAUGCACUUAUGUGUUUUGAGAUCACACUGUAUGCAGAACUGCUCACAACAACUUGGAACAUGCGCAUAUGGGCAAUGAAGAUAUGACUGAAGUCUGGGAUACAGGAGCAUACAUGACCAAGUGGAGAAGAUAUGCCAACGGCAUUAACAUAUCACUCCGUGUUAUAUGCCUUGAUUCGGCUCAAUGCCCAUGAAUCCUAAAGAUCUAUAGGGACAAAUCAUUAGGAGCAAGCAGCGACAAAAUCACCCAGCCGUCUAGGAACAGAAUAUGUCAAAUUAAAUAUCACCGGAG
rnacentral:lncRNA from 1 species